AUUGAACGCUGGCGGCAGGCCUAACACAUGCAAGUCGAGCGAGCGGAGGACGGGUGAGUAAUGUAUGGGGACUGCCCGAUAGAGGGGGAUAACUACAGGAAACGGUAGCUAAUAACGAAUACUAUCGGAUAACCCAUAUGGGAUUAGCUAGUAGGUGGGGUAAUGGCUCACCUAGGCGACGAUCCCUAGCUGGUCUGAGAGGAUGAUCAGCCACACUGGGACUGAGACACGGUCCAGACUCCUACGGAGGCAGCAGUGGGGAAUAUUGCACAAUGGGCGCAAGUCUGAUGCAGCCAUGCCGCGUGUAUGAAGAAGGUCCUAGGGUUGUAAAGUACUUUCAGUCGGGAGGCGUUAUCGACAGAAGAAGCACCGGCUAACUCCGUGCCAGCAGCCGCGGUAAUAC
rnacentral:rRNA from 1 species